rnacentral:tRNA from 1 species
GCCCCGGUAGCUCAGCCCGGUUAGAGCGGCGGGCUGCAGACCCGUAGGUCCCGGGUUCAAAUCCCGGCCGGGGCU